UACGUAGGGUGCAAGCGUUGUCCGGAUUUAUUGGGCGUAAAGCGUCCGCAGGCGGUUUGAUAAGUCUAAUGUUAAAUCCCAGAGCUCAACUCUGGUUCCGCAUUGGAUACUGUCAGACUAGAGUUUGGUAGAGGUAAAGGGAAUUCCUGGUGUAGCGGUGAAAUGCGUAGAUAUCAGGAGGAACACCGGUGGCGAAAGCGCUUUACUGGACCAUAACUGACGCUCAGGGACGAAAGCUAGGGUAGCGAAAGGG
rnacentral:rRNA from 1 species